rnacentral:lncRNA from 1 species
GAAUGAUUCAGGGGAAAAUAACAAUUUUUUUAAGUUAUAGAUAAAGCUCUGGGCAAGAAUUGGAUUUGAGUUUGCAGUAUUCAAAAAACUAGACUAUAUGGAAUUGACUUUCAUACUGGUUGCAAACUUGACAUCAGAUUGUGAAUGUCAGAUUGAUUUCUCAUUGUAGAUUUAGCAUUUAUACAUUCACAUCUUUCAUUCAUUGGUAGGUAUAGGUAAACAUU